ensembl:snRNA U6 U6 spliceosomal RNA
GUGUUUGCUUUGGCAACACGUGUACUAAAAUUGGAAUGAUACAGGGAGGAUUAGCAUGGCCCUUCCACAAGGUUGACAAGAGGAUUGUUUUGGAGCAAAAACAUUCU